GGCCCCGUCGCCUAGCCAGGACAGGGCGUCGGAUUUCUAAUCCGGAGGUCCCGGGUUCGAAUCCCGGCGGGGCCG
rnacentral:tRNA from 1 species